rnacentral:tRNA from 1 species
CGGGCAGUAGUCCAAUGUUAGAGCCCCCACUUUGUAUGCGGGAAGACCUGGGUUCGAUUCUCGGCUGCUUAC